rnacentral:lncRNA from 1 species
AUGUCAUGUGACAGACAGCCAGCAAUUAAUAGUCCAAUGGUGCUUCAGUGUUUCAUGAGAAAUACAGAUCUCUCCCUGCACACUGGCCACUCCAAGCGGUUCAUGUCUGGAAACCUGCGUGAACAGAUCUCUAAAGAGCUGUGUGAGGGCAGAAUGGAACCGGCUGUAUGGAGGUCAGCGAAGGCAGCAGAUCUGAUGGAUGUUGGAGAUCCUGAGCCAAGCCACCUUCCAAAUUUGGCCACUCUGCGAAAAGCCAAACAAGAGAGAAAAGACUUGGAAUUAGGAGAUAAGGACCCCAUUGCAUCUCUGCAAUUGUUAAAAUAUAGCGUUCCUCACAGUGGUAGCAUCCGAGAUAUUGGACUGGACAGGUUUUUCUGUCACUACUGGAGUCAAACACAGAUGCAUGUUUAUAAGACAUUGUCAAAAAAAUCUCCCCCAACUGUGUGUUUUGAUGCAACCGGUUCAGUUGUGAAAAAACUGCUGAGACCAAAUGGCAAAUCUGGGCAUAUCUUCCUUUAUCAAGGUAUUCUGAAACAAAACAAUUGCCCCAGUGUCCCAGUGGUGCAAAUGCUGUCAGAGAAACACGAUGUUAAUGCCAUCGCAAACUGGUUGACAGAAUGGAUUCGUGCAGGUGCACCUGUGCCAAAGGAAGCUGUGAGUGACUUUUCUCUGGCAAUUCUGGGAGCUCUGGUCAAGGCUUUCACUCCUCAUCCUGAUCUGAAGUCCUACCUUAAUGAAUGCUUUCAUGUCCUUCUUGGAACCCAGUCUGCCAAACUCCCCCCAUGUUUUAUCAGGGUUGAUGUUGCGCACUGCAUCAAGAUGAUAUGCCAGUGGGACUGCCUGAAGAAGAAAACACAUCGUGUUAAAGAUUUCUUUGUCAGGUCAUUAGGAAAACUUCUUCAGUCUCAAUGUUUGGACCAUGCAAAACAGCUCCUACGUGCUAUCACUGUUGUGGCCCUCAGUGAGGCAGAAGGUGAUGACAGUUCUGGAGCCCCUCUUCCCUCAGAAAGGUGCAAGAAAUACCUGAAAGCCCAAAUUGCUCAAGACUCCAUCAUCAUUCCAGAUGAACAGACGGAGGAAAGUGAGAGAGUGGAUUCAGUGGAUGAGAUCCAGACAGACCUGCGACACUGGGUAACAGAAAUAUGUGAGGAGAGCAGGUCACUUGCUGCAGCAAACGGGGAUAGAGAUAAUAUUCACUUUCUCCCUGAGAUUAUUCCUCAUAUAAUAAGACUGGCAAGUUACUUGCCACUCUGGACAGGAAUAAUGGUCCCUCUCUUCCAAAGCACCAGCAUCACAGCAAGUUCAGCCACUGUUGAAGCUGAGUUCAAAAACAUAAAACACGGACUUUUCAAACAUGAAAACUUGCCUGUUCGAGUCGAUCGCUUCAUUGCUCGUCAUCUUUCCUUCAUCGAGGGAAAUAUGCGGAUUUGUUCUGGGCUGAAGUCGAGGAUCAAUUUGAUGAGAUUCUCAUAG